rnacentral:rRNA from 1 species
AGUGAACGCUGGCGGUAGGCCUAACACAUGCAAGUCGAACGGCAGCACAGUAAGAGCUUGCUCUUACGGGUGGCGAGUGGCGGACGGGUGAGGAAUACAUCGGAAUCUACUUUUUCGUGGGGGAUAACGUAGGGAAACUUACGCUAAUACCGCAUACGACCUACGGGUGAAAGCAGGGGAUCUUCGGACCUUGCGCGAUUGAAUGAGCCGAUGUCGGAUUAGCUAGUUGGCGGGGUAAAGGCCCACCAAGGCGACGAUCCGUAGCUGGUCUGAGAGGAUGAUCAGCCACACUGGAACUGAGACACGGUCCAGACUCCUACGGGAGGCAGCAGUGGGGAAUAUUGGACAAUGGGCGCAAGCCUGAGCCAGCCAUACCGCGUGGGUGAAGAAGGCCUUCGGGUGGUAAAGCCCUUUUGUUGGGAAAGAAAAGCAGCAGGUUAAUACCCCGCUGUUCUGACGGUACCCAAAGAAUAAGCACCGGCUAACUUCGU